GAUGAACGCUGGCGGCGUGCCUAAUACAUGCAAGUCGAGCGAAUCUCUUCGGAGAUUAGCGGCGGACGGGUGAGUAACACGUAGGCAACCUGCCUGUAAGACUGGGAUAACUUCGGGAAACCGGAGCUAAUACCGGAUAGGUUUUCGUAUUGCAUGAUACGAAAUGGAAAGGCGGCUUUUAGCUGUCACUUACAGAUGGGCCUGCGGCGCAUUAGCUAGUUGGUGAGGUAACGGCUCACCAAGGCGACGAUGCGUAGCCGACCUGAGAGGAUGACCCCCCACACUGGUACUGAGACACGGACCAGACUCCUACGGGAGGCAGCAGUAAGGAAUAUUGGUCAAUGGACGCAAGUCUGAACCAGCCAUGCCGCGUGCAGGAAGACGGUCCUCUGGAUUGUAAACUGCUUUUGUUAGGGAAGAAACCCUCGGAUGCGUCCGGGGCUGACGGUACCUAAAGAAUAAGGAUCGGCUAACUCCGUGCCAGCCGCCGCGGUAACAC
rnacentral:rRNA from 1 species